CGAGUCGCGCGAGAAUGUAGCAAUACAGGAAAGCGGCGAAAGGGAGAGGACAACAUGGGAAUCUGCCCGGGGGACGAGGAUAGCGUCGGGAAACUGACGGUAAUACUCGAUAAUGUUUGCGGACCAAAGGUGAGAUUCCGCCCCUGGAUGAGCCCAUGCCCCAUUAGCUUGUUGGCGGUGUAAUAGACCACCAAGGCGAUGAUGGGUAGCUGGUGUGAGAGCACGACCAGCCUCACUGGCACUGAGACACUGGCCAGACACCUACGGGUGGCUGCAGUCGAGAAUCUUCGGCAAUGGACGAAAGUCUGACCGAGCGACGCCGCGUGCGGGACGAAGGCCUUCGGGUUGUAAACCGCUGUCGUAGAGGAUCAAAGGUAAUUGGGUUCUCCCUUUUAUUUGAGUGAUUCUAGGAGGAAGGAGAGGCUAAGCUCGUGCCAGCAGCCGCGGUAAGACGAGCUCUCCAAACGUUAUUCGGUAUUACUGGGCUUAAAGAGUUCGUAGGCGGCUUUGUAGGUGGGGUGUGAAAGCCCUCGGCUUAACCGAGGAACUGCGCCCCAAACCACAAGGCUUGAGGGAUAUAGGGGUAAGCGGAACAGAUGGUGGAGCGGUGAAAUGCAUUGAUAUCAUCUGGAACACCGGUGGCGAAGGCGGCUUACUGGAUAUUUUCUGACGCUGAGGAACGAAAGCUAGGGUAGCGAACGGGAUUAGAUACCCCGGUAGUCCUAGCCGUAAACGAUGAACACUAGUCUGAAGGACUCUCACAGUCUUUCGGACGUAGCGAAAGUAUUAAGUGUUCCGCCUGGGGAGUAUGGUCGCAAGGCUGAAACUCAAAGGAAUUGACGG
rnacentral:rRNA from 1 species